AACGAACGCUGGCGGCAGGCCUAACACAUGCAAGUCGAACGGGCGUAGCAAUACGUCAGUGGCAGACGGGUGAAUAACACGUGGGAACCUUCCUCGUAGUGCGGAACAACUCAGGGAAACUUGAGCUAAUACCGCAUACGCCCCGGAGCAAUCCGGGGGAAAGAUUUAUCGCUAUGAGACGGGCCCGCGUCCGAUUAGCUAGUUGGUGGGGUAACGGCCUACCAAGGCGACGAUCGGUAGCUGAUCUGAGAGGAUGAUCAGCCACACUGGGACUGAGACACGGCCCAGACUCCUACGGGAGGCAGCAGUGGGGAAUCUUGGACAAUGGGCGAAAGCCUGAUCCAGCCAUGCCGCGUGAGUGAAGAAGGCCUUAGGGUUGUAAAGCUCUUUUGGCAGGGACGAUAAUGACGGUACCUGCAGAAUAAGCCCCGGCAAACUUCGUGCCAGCAGCCGCCGCGGUAA
rnacentral:rRNA from 1 species